rnacentral:lncRNA from 1 species
GGAAUCUGGGUACUGGGAUCUAAGUAGUCUGGAGACUGGGUGGUCCUCACAUCUCUUUCUCCCCUGUUGAGGCUGAAGAGUUGAAGGGUAAGGGCCAGCCCAGUUGUGGCUGCUGGCUUUGGGGCUCUUCAGCCACUGGGGAAGCUCCAGGGAAAAGGAUGGUGUCCUUAAGAAACAGCAGCUUAGGUCUGGCCCGUUUUCCCUAAAGCAGGGAAAGCAAGUUGGUCCCAACAACUCACGGGACCAACAACUGCACCUUCCUGUCUGUUAGAAGCUGCUUCUUCCUGCUUUGAACAUGGAGAAACUGAGGACAGAGAAAGCCUUGGCAUACCAUCUAGUCCAGCUCCCUUUUUGGCUCUGAAGGGAAGAAAGCAGGGGAUAUAUAAAGACAUUCCUGGCAUCUUUUUAGCACAAUAAUGUUCAUGUUUUUGGAAGCAAAAGUUGUCUUGAUUUUUACCCAGACCAACCAGGACUCCUGAGCAUCAUUCAAGGAAUUCUCUGGUCUCUAAACCCAAGUCUAAAGGCAGCUGAUUUAUCUGAUUUAUCCCUGGGAGCCACACCCAGCACAGGGCCAAGCACAAACACAACAUCACAUGAACGAGGACAGUGAGUCACUUGGGAUAUGGAGAGACGCAAGAGGAUCAGAAGUUUGAGGCCACCCUCAGGAACACAGCAAGUCUGAGGGCAGCCCGAGCCACACACGCUUCUUACCAAGAAAGGAUGAAGCCAAUGUUCCCACUCUAUCCUAAAAUAGGCUGCCAAGCACACCCAAGAAUGUGUCCUGUGACCCCACACUAGAAGACCUUGACACUCAGUAUGAUCGCAUCACGAAGCCUGAUCUAUACCCAAGGGUGGGAACCGCAUCACUGUGGUCUCUACCCAUCAUGGAGACCCUCUCACUCACUCACUCGCCCACUCACUCACAGUGUGACCUUGGGAAGCCACUGAACUGAUCUAGUCUCUCUCCCAUAAAAUGGACUAAUGGUUGCAUCUCCCCCGAGAGCUUGGCAGAAGGGUUAAAAUUAAUAUGUACUGAAUGCUAUUGAUUAUAUAAAGUUAUUAUAUGUGAAGGACAUGUAACUGUGGCUGAUACUUGCUGGACACAAUGUAAAGAUUUAUUAGAUAAGUUAGUCAUGGCUUGGAUGUACACAAGAUGAAGCUAGAGGCUCAG